rnacentral:tRNA from 1 species
GCCUCUAUAGCUCAGCUGGUAGAGCGUUCACUUCGUAAGCGAAAGGUCCCGAGUUCGAACCUCGGUGGAGGCA